rnacentral:lncRNA from 1 species
GAGCUUGGUUGUGGAACUUUUAUUCUUGGAAGGGAUGGAGAUAAAAGGAACUCAACCUCCAUGAUAAAACUUAACAAUUCAAAUUAGGCUAUGUGGAAGUCCAUGAUGGAAGAUUUUCUCACCAUCAAAGAUUUGUCAAAUACUUUUGAAGAUAAAGAAGUUAGGCCCAAAGAUAUUUUUGAUUUGGAAGCUUACUAAGGGCUCGUUGGUUGUUGCAAAAGGAGAAACAAUAUAUUUUAGGUUUUUUCCUCUUCUCUAGCAUAUAAGUGCCGUAAACUUGGAUGCAUGAGCAAAGUUUGACAAAACACAUGGAUGAAUGCCGAACAAAGAUGAUGAAAAUGGAAGUACUCCAACAACCAGCAAGCAUAUUUGAGCAUAUGCAUCAUUCAACUUGUUCUUUUUUAUUUCUAUAUAUAUCACAAAGUGUAGAAGUCCACCAGGGCACAAACUGUGAAUGGAGAAAAAGAAUACACGAAUGACAUACAACCAAUUUGUGUUAUUAUUAUUUUUUCUAUGAGAAGGAAAAUAUAUAAAAUAAAAGAACAAAAACAACAAAUGCAAGGCCUACAUAUUCAGUUUAUUCCUUGUGGUCCCAUAAAAGUCCUAAAAUACGUAGUUAUGUGCUCAGGACUCGUAAGAUUUUCUGAUGUUGAGUGAUGACUAUGCAUGGUGGAGGCUAGACCUUCAUUUAUGUUCAGUAGCAAUGACAACAGGAGUGCUGGCAUGCGAACUGGCUCUAUGGGGAGG